rnacentral:rRNA from 1 species
AUUGAACGCUGGCGGCAGGCCUAACACAUGCAAGUCGAGCGGAUCGGAGGACGGGUGAGUAAUGCUUAGGAAUCUGCCUGGUCGUGGGGGAUAACGUUCGGAAACGGGCGCUAAUACUGCAUACUAUCAGAUGAGGCUAGGUCGGAUUAGCUAGUUGGUGGGGUAAAGGCCCACCAAGGCGACGAACCGUAACUGGUCUGAUUGGAGUAACAGUCACCCUGGAACUGAGACACGGUCCAGACUCCUACGGGAGGCAGCAGUGGGGAAGAUUGGACAAUGGGCGAAAGCCUGAUCCAGCCAUGCCGCGUGUAUGAAGAAGGUCUUCGGAUUGUAAAGCACUUUAAGUUGGGAGGCGUUACUAACAGAAUAAGCACCGGCUAACUUCGUGCCAGCAGCCGCGGUAAUAC